rnacentral:rRNA from 1 species
UGGGGAAUAUUGCACAAUGGGCGCAAGCCUGAUGCAGCGACGCCGCGUGGGGGAAGACGGCCUUCGGGUUGUAAACUCCUUUCGCUAGGGACGAAGCUUUUUGUGACGGUACCUAGAUAAGAAGCACCGGCUAACUACGUGCCAGCAGCCGCGGUAAUACGUAGGGUGCGAGCGUUGUCCGGAAUUACUGGGCGUAAAGGGCUCGUAGGUGGUUUGUCGCGUCGUCUGUGAAAUUCCGGGGCUUAACUCCGGGCGUGCAGGCGAUACGGGCAUAACUUGAGUACUGUAGGGGUAACUGGAAUUCCUGGUGUAGCGGUGAAAUGCGCAGAUAUCAGGAGGAACACCGAUGGCGAAGGCAGGUUACUGGGCAGUUACUGACGCUGAGGAGCGAAAGCAUGGGUAGCGAACAGG